GACGAACGCUGGCGGCGUGCCUAAUACAUGCAAGUUGAGCGAUGAAGAUUGGUGCUUGCCCCAAUUUGAAGAGCAGCGAACGGGUGAGUAACGCGUGGGGAAUCUGCCUUUGAGCGGGGGACAACAUUUGGAAACGAAUGCUAAUACCGCAUAAUAACUUUAAACAUAAGUUUUAAGUUUGAAAGAUGCAAUUGCAUCACUCAAAGAUGAUCCCGCGUUGUAUUAGCUAGUUGGUGAGGUAAAGGCUCACCAAGGCGAUGAUACAUAGCCGACCUGAGAGGGUGAUCGGCCACAUUGGGACUGAGACACGGCCCAAACUCCUACGGGAGGCAGCAGUAGGGAAUCUUCGGCAAUGGACGAAAGUCUGACCGAGCAACGCCGCGUGAGUGAAGAAGGUUUUCGGAUCGUAAAACUCUGUUGGUAGAGAAGAACGUUGGUGAGAGUGGAAAGCUCAUCAAGUGACGGUAACUACACAGAAAGGGACGGCUAACUACGUG
rnacentral:rRNA from 1 species